GGCCCCGAAAGGAUCACCGCUCUCCUAAAGCGGGUGCCGCAGGUUCGAAUCCUGCCGGGGGCA
rnacentral:tRNA from 1 species